GGGACCGGGAAAAGGAUAAGGAUCCGGGACGGGAACACCGGCACGGACAGGGACCGGGGUAAGGAACACCGGCAGGGACCGGGACACGGCCGGGAUAAGGAUCCGGGACGGGAACACCGGCACGGACAGGGACCGGGAGGGUUUCCUGUUGGAGAGAAUAAUCAGAUUCAGUGAAGAGUGUGUGCAGAGCAGCUCCUGGAGGUAAUUGUUCCUGUCAGCAGAGAGAUUGCACAGGCUCCCUUCAGGUCCUGGAAGGCUGCAGUUAUGUCACCCCAAAGCCUUCUCUCCAGGCUGAGCAAUCCCAGUUCUCUCAACCUUUCAAGAUGAAUUUUUUAAAAACGCUUUUUUCUUUUGCUGCAUCAUUUUUGCAGGGCAGCCCUGGGGUCUGGUCUGUACCUGUGGGAGGUCUCUGUGUGGGAGGUCUCCUGAGAGACCAGAUGGUUGUUGCCUGCUGGCAGCAUUUUCCAGCUUUGUUGUGCUUUUUACUGGAAGUAUAAAAAAUAAUGGUAUUUUCAGGCUUUUCUGGAGCGAAAAAAAAAAAAGAAAAAUGAGCAAAACAGAAGGAAAUCAGCACUUCCAUGCUGCUCAGCUGUGUUGAUACCAAGCUGCUUCUGCAGACAAUCUAAAACUUGGGUUUAUUUGGUGAAUGAAAAGAAGGUUUUUGUGGGGUUCAGCUUCUCCUGUGUGAGGACAAGCCCAUUAGUGGCUUUCACAGCAGACAUUAAAAAGAAGCUUUGAGAAUUGUGAAUCAGGGUCUUGGCAAGGUUUUGGGGUGUGCUUUUGCACUCCAGAGCAGUUCAGGUGCAAGAUGGACAAUGGAGGGUGUAAGAAAAGCAGAAAAAGAGCAUAUUGCCCAAUCCCUUGUGGGGUUAGGAAACUCAACCUCAAACAUGCCUUUGCCCUCCUCAGGGACCUUCACCCUGAGCCACCACCCACUUCUCCUUCAUCUCUUCCCCUUCUCAUGUCCCUGCAACUGUCCCCUUUCCUUCAACAGGGGAGUUAAAAGAGUUCCAUCAAUUCUUGCUGCUGCAUUUUCCUCUCUUGUUUCCUCCUGCAUUUAAUUUGGGGCUGGUUAGUUAAAUGCAUGUGGAGGCAACUCCUGCACAUGACUGAGGCAGUGCUUCUUUAGCUGCUUCAGUGAGUGAAGGUGGAGGGACUGGGAAAUGGGAUAGAGAUGGAUGCUUUGGGAAAUAAAGCUCCAGACUGGGAGUGAAGGAUGUCUGAUGCCAGAAUAUUGCCUUGGUUGAGUUGUUCUUAUGAUGUAUUUUUUGCCUUAGCUGAUAUUUCAGUGCAAGUUUUAACAAAAUAUUUCAGUGAGAAGGCAGCAGGAAGUGGGGGUGGGAAAGAAGAGGCUCAGGCAGUGUACAGGGCUGUAAAAAUCACACUCAAAUUGCAGCAGCACAAACACUGGGUGAUUCCACGAGGCUGUUCUGAAGGUCCAACAUAGAAUGUGUUUUCUGUCCUGUGUCUAGGCCUUACAGAUUGAGUCUUUUCGACAGUCAAAAUAAUUGAGAAGUAUUGGCAGGAAGCAAAUAUUUGCAGCUGUCCAUUUUCCAAGUCUAUAUUAUGCUAUAAACUCUUCAGUCUGCUAAAUUUUGAUUCUGUUUCUGUCAGGUGUUAAAGUCCAGAAGGACUAUUACAUUUUACAUUACAUUAUCUAGUCUGAUCUCCUUUGCAACAUAAGCCAUCUGUACUGUUGUUUAUACCCUUUACAGACUUUAAUUUAUCACCCCUUUUUCACAUUCAUCUGAAAGCCCUUCUUCCAGAUUGUUAAUAUUAUCAAGCUUUUGUAUUAUUUUUUAUCACACUGUUUGUAUUGCUGAAAAUGUUUUGAGGUGACCUUAAUGUUUAGUUUGAGACUAAAUUUGAAGCAGAUAGAGGAAUGCAAAUAUUUCAAAACUUAUUAGCUCCUAUUGUUUUCCUCUUUGAGAUUUGUUUUAUAUAAGAAUGCACUGUGGCCUUGAAAGGGCACCUGCUAUGUUUUUAAUUCUGUAUUUUUCCAGAUAAAUAAAAGCCUAAUAAAAAUCAGAAUGAAAGGGUUCUUUGUUUAAUAUGGCAACUGAAUUUUAUCUGUAAAAAUGCAGGUGCAUUAAAGCACUCUUAGUUCUUAUGCUGACCUGAAUUAAAUUAUGCAAAUCCAAAACUAGUUUUAAAGUAAAAUGUUUGUUUUGCUGUAUUGUUUAUAACCUUUCUUGCAAUUGCUUUAUUUCUUCAGCAGAAACUUAAUUUCUUUUUGUAUUUUUAACUGAUUAACAACUUUUCACUUGCACCUCUCUGCAGCUCACCAUAACUACU